rnacentral:tRNA from 1 species
AGGGCUAUAGCUCAGUUAGGUAGAGCACCUCGUUUACACGGGUCUACGGUUCGAGUCCGUAUAGCCCUA